GGGCUUGUGGCGCAGCAUGGAUAGCGUGGUAGCCUCCUAAGUUACAGGUCGAGGGAUCGAAGCCCUCCAAGCCCG
rnacentral:tRNA from 6 species